rnacentral:rRNA from 1 species
UACGGGGGGAGCAAGCGUUUGUUCGGAUUUACUGGGCGUAAAGGGCGCGUAGGCGGCGCAACAAGUCACUUGUGAAAUCUCCGGGCUUAACCCGGAGCGGUCAAGUGAUACUGUCGUGCUAGAGUGCGGAAGGGGCUACUGGAAUUCUCGGUGUAGCGGUGAAAUGCGUAGAUAUCGAGAGGAACACCUGCGGCGAAGGCGGGUAGCUGGGCCGACACUGACGGCUGAUGCGGCGAAAGCCAGGGAGCGAACGGG